UACGUAGGGUGCAAGCGUUGUCCGGAAUUAUUGGGCGUAAAGAGCUCGUAGGCGGUCUGUCGCGUCUGCUGUGAAAACUCAGGGCUUAACCCUGAGCUUGCAGUGGGUACGGGCAGACUAGAGUGCGGUAGGGGAGACUGGAAUUCCUGGUGUAGCGGUGAAAUGCGCAGAUAUCAGGAGGAACACCGGUGGGCGAAGGCGGCCUGCUGGGCAGUAG
rnacentral:rRNA from 1 species